rnacentral:rRNA from 1 species
AAUGAACGCUGGCGGCAGGCCUAAAACAUGCAAGUCGAACGCCCUAGCAAUAGGGAGUGGCGCACGGGUGAGUAACAUGUGGGAAUAUGCCUUUUGGUACGGAACAAUGUUUGGAAACGAACGCUAAUACCGUAUGGUCCCUCCGGGGUAAAGAUUUAUCGCCAAAAGAUUAGCCCGCACUAGAUUAGCUAGUUGGUAAGGUAAUGGCUUACCAAGGCGACGAUCUAUAGCUGUUCUGAGAGGAAGAUCAGCAACACUGGGACUGAGACACGGCCCCGACUCCUACGGGAGGCAGCAGUUGGGAAUAUUGGACAAUGGGCGCAAGCCUAAUCCAGCCAUGCCGCGUGAGUGAUGAAGGCCUUCGGGUUGUAAAGCUCUUUAGCCGACGAAUAUAAUGACUGUAGUCGGAGAAUAAGCCCCGGCUAACUUCGUGCCAGCCGCCGCCGUAACAC